rnacentral:rRNA from 1 species
UGUCCCUACGGGGCGCAGCAGUGGGGAAUAUUGGGCAAUGGAGGCAACUCUGACCCAGCAACGCCGCGUGAGCGAUGAAGGUCUUCGGAUUGUAAAGCUCUUUAAGCGGGGACGAAGAAAGUGACUGUACCCGCAGAAUAAGCCUCGGCUAACUACGUGCCAGCAGCCGCGGUAAUACGUAGGAGGCAAGCGUUAUCCGGAAUGACUGGGCGUAAAGGGUGCGUAGGUGGUUUGGCAAGUUGGUAGCGUAAUCCCGGGGCUCAACCUCGGUGCUACUACCAAAACUGUUGAACUUGAGUGCAGGG